rfam:Fukomys damarensis contig102642, whole genome shotgun sequence.
AGCUUUGUGCAGUCACAGUAUCAUAGCCAAUAAGGUUUAUCUGAGGUGAGAUUAUUGCUAAUUGAAAACUUAAACUGAUCCAUUUAAUUAUUAAUAUCUCAGUCUCACUUAAAUAUUUCAUAUAUAGCUGAGAUGU